rnacentral:rRNA from 1 species
UGCGUAGGUGGCCUUUUAAGUUGGAUGUGAAAUACCCGGGCUUAACCGUGGGGGUGCAUCUAAUACUGGGAGGCUAGAGUGCAGGAGAGGAAAGCGGAAUUCCUAGUGUAGCGGUGAAAUGCGUAGAUAUUAGGAGGAACACCAGUGGCGAAGGCGGCUUUCUGGACUGUAACUGACACUGAGGCACGAAAGCGUGGGGAGCAAACA